GGAUUUAGGUUCCAGCGCCGCAAGGCGUGAGAGUUCGAGUCUCUCCGUCCGCACCA
rnacentral:tRNA from 1 species